rnacentral:rRNA from 1 species
GACGAACGCUGGCGGCGUGCUUAACACAUGCAAGUCGAACGGAAAGGUCCUGCUUUUGUGGGGUGCUCGAGUGGCGAACGGGUGAGUAACACGUGAGUAACCUGCCCUUGACUUUGGGAUAACUUCAGGAAACUGGGGCUAAUACCGGAUAGGAGCUCCUGCUGCAUGGUGGGGGUUGGAAAGUUUCGGCGGUUGGGGGUGGACUCGCGGCUUAUCAGCUUGUUGGUGGGGUAGUGGCUUACCAAGGCUUUGACGGGUAGCCGGCCUGAGAGGGUGACCGGCCACAUUGGGACUGAGAUACGGCCCAGACUCCUACGGGAGGCAGCAGUGGGGAAUAUUGCACAAUGGGCGGAAGCCUGAUGCAGCAACGCCGCGUGCGGGAUGACGGCCUUCGGGUUGUAAACCGCUUUCGCCUGUGACGAAGCGUGAGUGACGGUAAUGGGUAAAGAAGCACCGGCUAACUACGUG